CACGCUGUAAACGAUGGAUACUAGGUGUGGGAGGUAUCGACCCCUUCCGUGCCGCAGUUAACGCAAUAAGUAUCCCGCCUGGGGAGUACGGCCGCAAGGUUGAAACUCAAAGGAAUUGACGGGGGCCCGCACAAGCAGCGGAGCAUGUGGUUUAAUUCGAAGCAACGCGAAGAACCUUACCAGAGCUUGACAUCGUCUGAAUUACCCGUAAUGGGGGAAGUCCUUCGGGACAGAUAGACAGGUGG
rnacentral:rRNA from 1 species